UACGGGGGGGGCAAGCGUUGUUCGGAAUUACUGGGCGUAAAGGGCUCGUAGGCGGCCAACUAAGUCAAACGUGAAAUCCCUCGGCUUAACCGGGGAACUGCGUCUGAUACUGGAUGGCUUGAGUUUGGGAGAGGGAUGCGGAAUUCCAGGUGUAGCGGUGAAAUACGUAGAUAUCUGGAGGAACACCGGUGGCGAAGGCGGCAUCCUGGACCAACACUGACGCUGAGGAGCGAAAGCCAGGGGAGCAAAACGGGG
rnacentral:rRNA from 1 species